rnacentral:rRNA from 1 species
AACAAAUUAAUAAGUGCAAAUGGCGGAUGCCUAGGCACCAGAAGCCGAUGAAGGUCGUAGGAGGCUGCGAAAAGCCUCGGGGAGCCGCCAACCAGGCUUCGAUCCGAGGAUUACCGAAUGGGGAAACCCGGCUGGAGUAAUGUCCAGUCAUUUCUCUCUGAAUAAAUAGGAGAGUCAAAGGUAACGAGGGGAAGUGAAACAUCUCAGUACCCUCAGGAAGAGAAAACAACCGUGAUUCCGUUAGUAGUGGCGAGCGAAAGCGGAAGAGGCUAAACCAAUCAUGUGCCAAGCCGGCAGGCGUUGCAUGAUCGGUGUCGUGGGACUAAAUCGAAUCAACUGCCGUUAAUUCAACAAGUCAGAAAAUAAUGAAAUAGAUGAAGGACGUGGGAAAGUCCGGCAUAGAAGGUGAGACCCCUGUAGUCGAAAUUUCAUUAUCUUGUUUUUAGUAUCCCAAGUAAUACCGGACUCGUGUAAUCCGGUAUGAAUCUGGCGGGACCACCCGCUAAGCCUAAAUACUCUCUGGUGACCGAUAGUGAACAAGUACCGUGAGGGAAAGGUGAAAAGAACCCCGCAAGGGGAGUGAAAUAGAAUCUGAAACCGUUUGCAUACAAACCGUUGGAGCUGCCUUGUGCAGUGACAGCGUGCCUUUUGAAGAAUGAGUCUACGAGUUAGUGUGAUGUGGCAAGGUUAACCCGUCGAGGGGAAGCCGUAGCGAAAGCGAGUCUGAAUAGGGCGAAUAAGUCGCAUCAUCUAAACCCGAAGCGAGGUGAUCUCGCCAUGACCAGGUUGAAGCGCGGGUAAGACCGCGUGGAGGACCGAACCCACUAAAGUUGAAAAUUUAGGGGAUGAGUUGUGGCUAGGGGUGAAAGACCAAUCAAACUUCGUGAUAGCUGGUUCUCUCCGAAAUGCAUUUAGGUGCAGCGUUACGUGUUUCUUACCGGAGGUAGAGCUACUGGAUGGUCGAGGGGCCCUACAAGGUUACCAACAUCAGCCAAACUCCGAAUGCCGGUAAGUGAGAACGUAGCAGUGAGACAGUGGGGGAUAAUCUUCAUUGUCGAGAGGGAAACAACCCAGAGUAGCAACUAAGGUCCCAAAGCGUGUGCUAAGUGGAAAAGGAUGUGAAGUCGCAUAGACAACCAGGAGGUUGGCUUAGAAGCAGCCACCCUUAAAAAAGUGCGUAAUAGCUUACUGGUCAAGUGAUUUCGCGCCGACAAUGUAACGGGGCUCAAGCACACCACCGAAGUUCUAUCAUUCACACACUAUCCCGGUCGUAAGAUCCAGGAGUGUGGAUGGGUAGGAGAGCGUCGUGUAGCUGGCGAAGCGGCGGAGGAAUCCAGCCGUGGAAGCUACACGAGUGAGAAUGUAGACAUGAGUAGCGAGAGUUGGGUGAGAAACCCAACCGCCGAAAGACCAAGGGUUCCUGGGCCAGGCUAAUCCGCCCAGGGUAAGUCGGGACCUAAGACGAGGCCGUCAGGCGUAGUCGAUGGACAACGGGUUGAUAUUCCCGUACCCGCGUAAGUUCGUCCCUGACGAACCUCCUAAUGCUAAGUUUUCGAAGCGUUAUUGGCGUAAGUCGAUGGCGUGGAGGGAACGACCCGGUGGAGUAGUAGUCAAGCAAUGGUGUGACACAGGAAGGUAGUCCAGCCCGGGCGAUGGUUGUCCCGGGGUAAGAGUGUAGGGAGUUAUGUAGGCAAAUCCGCAUAACGUUUAACUGAGACUUGAUGCCGAGCCGAAUGGCGAAGUGGAUGAUCCUAUGCUGUCAAGAAAAGCAUCUAGCGAGAACUUAAGUGGCCCGUACCCGAAACCGACACAGGUGGUCAGGUAGAGAAUACCAAGG